UGUCCAACCAGGCUGGUGGAAAGUCAGUCUCUAUUAUUUUGAGCUUGCAUCUUGCCACGGGUCUUAUCUUGCACUGAAACUCCUGGAAGACUUGUCGGUGUCUGUCAUCAGCUGCUGAUGUGCCCAUUUCCUAUUCACUAUGCAAACUUGUCUAUGAUUAUUGGAAGCACUCUAUGACCUGGACAUUCCAAGCAGUGACAUCGUCUUACGUCUUCUAACAAACUGUGAACCAAGCAAACUACAUAUUCAGGAUCCUUUUUUGCAACUUGCUGUUGUAGAAGCCCAGGCAAGGCCUUUAAAUUUGUUUUCUCAUCUAUGAAAUGUGUAAUUCAACUUGAAGACUUUUUAAAGUCACUCUACAUCUGAAGAAUCUCCGAUUUUAUGAUGUAGGUACCACUCUCAAAGCUCUUAUUGAUAAAGACCUACAUUAUAUUCAUUUUUACACAGAUCUGCCAGUUUAAAAUCUGACACAAUCCAACAUUCUAGAGCCUGAAACAUGAUGCUCUAUUAAGAUCGAUUUAUCAGAUGAAUGUAGACUCAAAUAAAGUUCUGUAAGAUACUGGCUCUAAAAUCUUGGCUCAGCAUUUCAAGAUGGUAUGCCUAUAGCUCCGAACUUGGAUGUAAUGAAACGUGAAACAGUCUCAUUUUAGCAUGGAAGGAAAUCAGCUUUCUCAUCAGAAGGAAAGAUUUUUCAAUUCAGUUUUAACCGGUAAUUUUCCUUUGGGGGAGCUUGAAGAGCUGUAGUGGUUAAAGGAAUAAACUAUCAAAUAACAAUACUAUUCAUGAAUAAUUACCCAGCAGGGGGAGACAGGAGGAUUCUAACUUUUAUCUUUAGAGGUCUGAAUGAUUUGAGAGGAUACCUAUAAUGGAGGACUUGUGAUCUAGGAUACAGCAGUAGUUGCUCUCAGAAAAGAGGGGGAAAUAAGCAAAUAUCAUCAAGUCACGCACGUUGGGUUUUAUUUAAGGAAAUGUCUCCUUGUGUAGGCAGUGAUGUGUUUAAGAGUGAGACAUUUCCUUUUACUUGUUUCUAUUUUAAGUGAUUGCUUUGGCAGGUCUUUGAAGGAAAAAAAAAUCAUUUUCUAUCCUGCAGAUUCAGUAACUGCCCUUAAAUGUCAGAUCAUGUCACAUUUUCAGUGGAGACAACAUUGUGAUUUGCUUCCAUGGUGAUCUACCAGUCAGUGAUGGCCAAAACUAAUGACCUUGGAUUAUCGGGGUACCGUGCAAGGCAGCCACUAAUUAUUUGUCAUAAUCUCCCAGGGAGGAAAUUACUAAUAUUAUUACUUAGUACAUCCUUUGCGUUUACACUAGCAGAGUGCUGAAAAAUUCAUCUGUGGCCCUGAAGAAAUAACCAGUUGUGCUGUUCUUAGCAGGAAGCAAGGAAGCAGCCCCAAGAGCACCUGUGUCCACUCGGUGACAUAGUCAGGGCCUCAAGCUCUAUGUGCUGUGGCAGGCUUGUAGGCUACGUUGCUUUCAAAUUUCAGCUGAGUAAUAGAAUGACUAUGUCAGAGGCAUUUUUAAUAUAUUAUUCUAAUCUCUAGAGACUGCAGUUAGUAAGCAACAAAUGAAUUCAAUUAUAAGACUGCCCCUCAAAAAAAAUAUUUUAAUGUGGCACUUUCACUUGGAAGGCAUAUUCAACAAGCAGACUUGGAAAAUAUUAAACGUGCUCUGGCAGGUGUAGGGGAUAAAAGCCAUCUGGUAUGAAUGAGUCCCCUGUAUUUGGAGUAAGGACGGUUACAAGAUCCUUUCAACUUACUGGUCGGCCAGUUGUCUGUUCCUCAGCCAGAGCCUAUCUACAGGUGGUCCCACUGGGAAAGAAAGAGUAUUUCUAUACUAUUAUUGAUAGAUUGUGGUUAAUAUUUAACCUAAAUUUGUAAUCAGAAUGUAAUAUUUAUAUUAUGAUAGAUAGAUGAUAGACAGAUAGAUAGAUAGAUAGAUAGAUAGAUAGAUAGAUAGAUAGAUAGAUAAAUGAUAUAGGAGACUCUGUACUUCUCUCUUAACCAGGAAAGGAACCAAGGUUUUAACAAACUUAAGAUUUGCUACAGAUAACCUUCAUCUUAAUAAUGGACAGGAGGGAGUGUUAGUGAAGAGGAUAUUAGAGAAAUAAUAUUGGACAAGGAAGCUUUUCUUAGUCACAUUCAAAGGUAUCCAUACUUUAAAAUCUACUGCAUGUUUCCUACCUAGUGAACAGUAGACGUUAAACAAGUAACCAAGUACAACUGACAAUAGGAAUUAUGCAGCCCUCCCUUUCACUCAAUAAACCACUCAUUUUCCAGAUAAUAUUCUAUUUCACUUUGACACUGGCUCCAUAGUCCUUAGGUCUUAACCGAACAACAAGGAAGCACCAGAGCCCAGCCCAGUGGGAUUGAUUUGGUGUUUUAAACUGAGAUCGCUGUUUGAAAUAAUUACGACUGCUGUUGGUCCACAUGUGGCCACUGGAUGUGGUCGACACCAGGUCAAAAAUCUCUGUGCAGGAGGUUUUCAGAAGCUGCAACUGGUUGAAAGGGGGUCACGGAUGCUAAGGGGCUUGUGUAGAAGGUACCUUUGCAUAUACAGCCCUGUUCGUAGACCAAGCAACAGCUGGUUUUCUGCCUCAAAACCCGGAGGAGCUGACAGAGAUCAAAAACUCCUUGACAACUGAGAGUGACUGAAAUUCUGAAUACUCUGAAUACUGAUGAACUAUACCACAGAAAAGAAUUUGUAUUUUCAACUUACAUCAGUGUGGCAUAUUUCAGAUGUGCCGUAAUUGGAACUGCUUUUAAGCCCAAUUACAAAUGCUUAUUUUUCACUUUUACAGAAAAUACACAACCUGGAAAUUUAGAAUCUUUUAUUUUUCAACAUGUACUCUGUAAAUAUGGAUCUCUUUUCAGAUCUGGAGUCCAUAGGAGAUAGAUUUACCUUCAUUUUAGGAAGAUGGGCAGGACAACAUAAUUUAUGAGCUGAACCAAUGAAAGGGUGCUGAGUCGGGUUUUGUUAAACUAGUGUUAUGGCUGGCAAGGAUGACAUGUCAGAUGUUUCAUUCAUUUUAAAUACCAAGCCAUUUCCAUAAAUCAUUUUUAUAACUUUAAAUACAUUAUAUAGGUAUAGUAACAAUAGACAGUUGUGUUUAAAUGUGCCAGACACGUCCAUUUCCUUCACUACAUACUGUAUUUCUCAUUUCAUUUUCCAAAGAUGUACUUAGCAGAUUAUUUUUAUGGCCUGAUCCAUAUUUUAGUUUUAUUCAUGUAGCCUUGUCUCUUGGCCCCGCUAUGCUUCUCUGAUUCUUCCUUGUGCAUAUACAUAUUCAACCCAUGUGAAUAUCAUCAUAGCAUUUCUCUCUUCCUUUUUGCACAAAAGCCCAGUUAGAAAAAAUACGCAGGAUGCAUUUGGGGCUAUUUAGCAUAAAAACUUCAUCUGAAACUGCUGUAUUAUAUAAGAUAAUGGGUUGUAUUUCAGGAUAUUUAAGGUUGAGUUUCUUUACUGUGUGAACGCUAUACUAUUUUCUUUUCUCCCCUAACUCCCCACCCCCCACCCCCCG